rnacentral:misc_RNA from 1 species
UUCACUCAUUGAUAAAUCAUUGUUAAACUUACAAGUUUACAAUCCAAUCAUGUUUCCAAGAUAAAUGUAAUGGAAAGUAAUAGCCAAGAAGUUGUUCGCCCAGUUACAGACUUGCAGAGGUGGAGACUUUGUGUGGUUGUAAAUUAUUUUUAUGAUAAUUUUCACAUAAAGAAUCCGUUGUGUUUGUGCUCAUUCAGAAACUCUUGAUGGAUUUUUCCCAGCCGACAAA